UGGCAAACCACCCACACUUAACAGAGCAGUCCUCUCUGGGGUUAAAGGGGUAAAAGGAGGUUCACCGUAACUUACCGACCACAUGGAAGCUGUUCUAAUGAAGAACCAUAACAACAAGUUCACAGUAAAUACUAAUGUUCAAUAAACCAAAGAUAGCUGGUGCUCCAAAAUAACGUCCAAUUGUCAGCAGUUAAACAGUGUGGCCAUGAGAAAUCAGGCAGUACAGUACUCCCGUCUGCGUCUCUCUCUCUGUUACUUAGAGUACUCCUGUCUGUGUCUCUCUCUCUGUUACUGAGAGUACUCCUGUCUGCGUCUCUCUCUGUUAGAGUACUCCUGUCUGCGUCUCUCUCUCUGUUACUUAGAGUACUCCUGUCUGCGUGUCUC